rnacentral:lncRNA from 1 species
AGGAUACUCACCCCUGUGUUUUUUUUAUAUCAAAAAGAGGGUAUUUGCUUCAAAGGCAUUUACAUUUUUUUCUUUUCUUUUCCUUCAGGUUGAGAAUCCGUCUCUGAGAACCUGAAGCUUUUCCUGCUGAUUCUCACUAUUUUCCCAGCAAACUUCCACCCAAGAAAGUUCCAGAAAGAACACCCGUGGGAGGCCUCCCUGCUACAGCGAAGCAGACCUCACCCACCACUACCAGUUAAUACAUCCCUGCCACGCAUGAGGGAGUCCCGGUUGCUGCUGGUGGAGCAGGGGAUGCCACCUGAAGGGUGCGGCCGGUGCGUCUGC